rnacentral:tRNA from 1 species
GGGGCUCUAGCUCAUAUGGUAGAGCGUUCGCUUCGCACACAGCGACACGGGAUCUGCGAGAGGCACAGGGUUCGAUUCCCUGGUGCUCCA